UACGAAGGGGGCUAGCGUUGUUCGGAUUUACUGGGCGUAAAGCGCACGUAGGCGGAUCGUUAAGUCGGGGGUGAAAUCCUGGAGCUCAACUCCAGAACUGCCUUCGAUACUGGCGAUCUUGAGUCCGGAAGAGGUGAGUGGAACUCCUAGUGUAGAGGUGGAAUUCGUAGAUAUUAGGAAGAACACCAGUGGCGAAGGCGGCUCACUGGUCCGGGUACUGACGCUGAGGUGCGAAAGUCGGUGGGGAGAAACAGGG
rnacentral:rRNA from 1 species